rnacentral:rRNA from 1 species
CAACGCGAAGAACCUUACCAACUCUUGACAUCCCAUUGACCGCUUGAGAGAUCAAGUUUUCCCUUCGGGGACAAUGGUGACAGGUGGUGCAUGGUUGUCGUCAGCUCGUGUCGUGAGAUGUUGGGUUAAGUCCCGCAACGAGCGCAACCCCUAUCCUUAGUUGCCAGCAUUCAGUUGGGCACUCUAGGGAGACUGCCGGUGACAAACCGGAGGAAGGUGGGGAUGACGUCAAAUCAUCAUGCCCCUUAUGAGUUGGGCUACACACGUGCUACAAUGGACGGUACAAAGGGCAGCGAGACCGCGAGGUGGAGCCAAUCCCAUAAAGCCGUUCCCAGUUCGGAUUGCAGGCUGCAACUCGCCUGCAUGAAGUCGGAAUCGCUAGUAAUCGCAGGUCAGCAUACUGCGGUGAAUACGUUCCCGGGUCUUGUACACACCGCCCGUCACACCANCGAGAGUUUGCAACACCCGAAGCCGGUGAGUAACNGACAAGGAGCCAGCCGUCGAAGU